AGGCGCGGCAGGGCGGUCAGGCAGGCAGGCAGCGCCUCGAAUGCGUUGGCGGCGAUGCGCAGGAGUUCGAGGUUCCGCGCUCCCCC
rnacentral:tRNA from 1 species